CAGUAGCCGCGGUAAUACGAAGGGGGCUAGCGUUGUUCGGAUUUACUGGGCGUAAAGGGCGCGUAGGCGGACUGAUAAGUCAGGGGUGAAAUCCCAAGGCUCAACCUUGGAACUGCCUUUGAUACUGUUUGUCUUGAGUUCGAGAGAGGUAAGUGGAACUGCGAGUAUAGAGGUGAAAUUCGUAGAUAUUCGCAAGAACACCAGUGGCGAAGGCGGCUUACUGGCUCGAAACUGAUGCUGAGGCGCGAAAGCGUGGGGAGCAAACAGGAUUAGAUACCCCCGUAGUCCCUGUCUCUUAUAC
rnacentral:rRNA from 1 species